rnacentral:misc_RNA from 1 species
GAUGAAGAACGUAGCGAAAUGCGAUAAGUAGUGUGAAUUGCAGAAUUCAGUGAAUCAUCGAAUCUUUGAACGCACAUUGCGCCCUUUGGUAUUCCAAAGGGCAUGCCUGUUCGAGCGUCAUUUGUACCCUCAAGCUUUGCUUGGUGUUGGGCGUCUUGUCUCUAGCUUUGCUGGAGACUCGCCUUAAAGUAAUUGGCAGCCGGCCUACUGGUUUCGGAGCGCAGCACAAGUCGCACUCUCUAUCAGCAAAGGUCUAGCAUCCACUAAGCCUUUUUUUCAACUUUUGACCUCGGAUCAGGUAGGGAUACCCGCUGAACUUAAGAAUAUCAAUAAGCGGAGGA